rnacentral:rRNA from 1 species
GAGUUUGAUCCUGGCUCAGAGUGAACGCUGGCGGCGUGCCUAAUACAUGCAAGUCGAACGGAGAUAUGAGGGCUUGCUCUUAUAUCUUAGUGGCGCACGGGUGAGUAAUGUAUAGCUAAUCUGCCCUACACUAGAGGACAACAGUUGGAAACGACUGCUAAUACUCUAUACUCCUUCUUUACAUAAGUUAAGUCGGGAAAGUUUUUCGGUGUAGGAUGAGGCUAUAUCGUAUCAGCUAGUUGGUGAGGUAACGGCUCACCAAGGCUAUGACGCGUAACUGGUCUGAGAGGAUGAUCAGUCACACUGGAACUGAGACACGGUCCAGACUCCUACGGGAGGCAGCAGUAGGGAAUAUUGCUCAAUGGGGGAAACCCUGAAGCAGCAACGCCGCGUGGAGGAUGACACUUUUCGGAGCGUAAACUCCUUUUCUUGGGAAAGAAUUAUGACG